rnacentral:rRNA from 1 species
AUUGAACGCUGGCGGCAGGCUUAACACAUGCAAGUCGAACGAGUGGCGGACGGGUGUGUAAUGCUUGGGAAUCUCGCUUAUGGAGGGGGAUAACUACUGGAAACGGUGGCUAAUACCGCAUACUAUCGGAUGAUCCUCGAUGGGAUUAGCUAGUAGGUGGGGUAAAGGCUCACCUAGGCGACGAUCUCUAGCUGGUCUGAGAGGAUGACCAGCCCCACUGGGACGGAGACACGGCCCAGACUCCUACGGGAGGCAGCAGUGGGGAAUAUUGCACAAUGGGCGCAAGCCUGAUGCAGCCAUGCCGCGUGUAUGAAGAAGGCCUUAGGGUUGUAAAGUACUUUCAGCGGGGAGGCGUUACCCGCAGAAGAAGCACCGGCUAACUCCGUGCCAGCAGCCGCGGUAAUUC